GUGGGGAAUAUUGGACAAUGGGCGAAAGCCUGAUCCAGCCAUGCCGCGUGUGUGAAGAAGGUCUUCGGAUUGUAAAGCACUUUAAGUUGGGAGGAAGGGCAGUAAGUUAAUACCUUGCUGUUUUGACGUUACCGACAGAAUAAGCACCGGCUAACUUCGUGCCAGCAGCAGCGGUAAUACGAAGGGUGCAAGCGUUAAUCGGAAUUACUGGGCGUAAAGCGCGCGUAGGUGGUUUUGUAAGUUGGAGGUGAAAUCCCCGGGCUCAACCUGGGAACUGCCUCCAAAACUGCAUGACUAGAGUACGGUAGAGGGUAGGGGAAUUUCCUGUGUAGCGGUGAGAUGCGUAGAUAUAGGAAGGAACACCAGUGGCGAAGGCGACUACCUGGACUGAUACUGACACUGAGGUGCGAAAGCGUGGGGAGCAAACAGGAUUAGAUACCCCGGUAGUCC
rnacentral:rRNA from 1 species